GGUUAAGUUAGAAAGGGCGCACGGUGGAUGCCUUGACACUAGGAGUCGAUGAAGGACGGGACUAACGCCGAUAUGCUUCGGGGAGCUGUAAGUAAGCUUUGAUCCGAAGAUUUCCGAAUGGGGAAACCCACCAUACGUAAUGGUAUGGUAUCCUUAUCUGAAUACAUAGGGUAAGGAAGACAGACCCAGGGAACUGAAACAUCUAAGUACCUGGAGGAAGAGAAAGCAAAUGCGAUUUCCUGAGUAGCGGCGAGCGAAACGGAACAUAGCCCAAACCAAGAGGCUUGCCUCUUGGGGUUGUAGGACAUUCUAUACGGAGUUACAAAGGAACGAGGUAGACGAAGCGACCUGGAAAGGUCCGUCGUAGAGGGUAACAACCCCGUAGUCGAAACUUCGUUCUCUCUUGAAUGUAUCCUGAGUACGGCGGAACACGUGAAAUUCCGUCGGAAUCUGGGAGGACCAUCUCCCAAGGCUAAAUACUCCCUAGUGAUCGAUAGUGAACCAGUACCGUGAGGGAAAGGUGAAAAGCACCCCGGAAGGGGAGUGAAAGAGAUCCUGAAACCGUGUGCCUACAAAUAGUCAGAGCCCGUUAACGGGUGAUGGCGUGCCUUUUGUAGAAUGAACCGGCGAGUUACGAUCCCGUGCGAGGUUAAGCUGAAGAGGCGGAGCCGCAGCGAAAGCGAGUCUGAAUAGGGCGUUUAGUACGUGGUCGUAGACCCGAAACCAGGUGAUCUACCCAUGUCCAGGGUGAAGUUCAGGUAACACUGAAUGGAGGCCCGAACCCACGCACGUUGAAAAGUGCGGGGAUGAGGUGUGGGUAGCGGAGAAAUUCCAAUCGAACCUGGAGAUAGCUGGUUCUCCCCGAAAUAGCUUUAGGGCUAGCCUUAAGUGUAAGAGUCUUGGAGGUAGAGCACUGAUUGGACUAGGGGUCCUCAUCGGAUUACCGAAUUCAGUCAAACUCCGAAUGCCAAUGACUUAUCCUUAGGAGUCAGACUGCGAGUGAUAAGAUCCGUAGUCAAAAGGGAAACAGCCCAGACCGCCAGCUAAGGUCCCAAAGUGUGUAUUAAGUGGAAAAGGAUGUGGAGUUGCUUAGACAACUAGGAUGUUGGCUUAGAAGCAGCCACCAUUUAAAGAGUGCGUAAUAGCUCACUAGUCGAGUGACUCUGCGCCGAAAAUGUACCGGGGCUAAAUACACCACCGAAGCUGCGGAUUGAUACCAAUGGUAUCAGUGGUAGGGGAGCGUUCUAAGGACAGUGAAGUCAGACCGGAAGGACUGGUGGAGUGCUUAGAAGUGAGAAUGCCGGUAUGAGUAGCGAAAGACGGGUGAGAAUCCCGUCCACCGAAUGCCUAAGGUUUCCUGAGGAAGGCUCGUCCGCUCAGGGUUAGUCAGGACCUAAGCCGAGGCCGACAGGCGUAGGCGAUGGACAACAGGUUGAUAUUCCUGUACCACCUCUUUAUCGUUUGAGCAAUGGAGGGACGCAGAAGGAUAGAAGAAGCGUGCGAUUGGUUGUGCACGUCCAAGCAGUUAGGCUGAUAAGUAGGCAAAUCCGCUUAUCGUAAAGGCUGAGCUGUGAUGGGGAAGCUCCUUAUGGAGCGAAGUCUUUGAUUCCCCGCUGCCAAGAAAAGCUUCUAGCGAGAUAAAAGGUGCCUGUACCGCAAACCGACACAGGUAGGCGAGGAGAGAAUCCUAAGGUGUGCGAGAGAACUCUGGUUAAGGAACUCGGCAAAAUGACCCCGUAACUUCGGGAGAAGGGGUGCUUUCUUAACGGAAAGCCGCAGUGAAUAGGCCCAAGCGACUGUUUAGCAAAAACACAGCUCUCUGCGAAGCCGUAAGGCGAAGUAUAGGGGUGACACCUGCCCGGUGCUGGAAGGUUAAGGAGAGGGGUUAGCGUAAGCGAAGCUCUGAACUGAAGCCCCAGUAAACGGCGGCCGUAACUAUAACGGUCCUAAGGUAGCGAAAUUCCUUGUCGGGUAAGUUCCGACCCGCACGAAAGGUGUAACGAUUUGGGCACUGUCUCAACCAGAGACUCGGUGAAAUUAUAGUACCUGUGAAGAUGCAGGUUACCCGCGACAGGACGGAAAGACCCCGUGGAGCUUUACUGUAGCCUGAUAUUGAAUUUUGGUACAGUUUGUACAGGAUAGGCGGGAGCCUUUGAAACCGGAGCGCUAGCUUCGGUGGAGGCGCUGGUGGGAUACCGCCCUGACUGUAUUGAAAUUCUAACCUACGGGUCUUAUCGACCCGGGAGACAGUGUCAGGUGGGCAGUUUGACUGGGGCGGUCGCCUCCUAAAGUGUAACGGAGGCGCCCAAAGGUUCCCUCAGAAUGGUUGGAAAUCAUUCGUAGAGUGCAAAGGCAUAAGGGAGCUUGACUGCGAGACCUACAAGUCGAGCAGGGACGAAAGUCGGGCUUAGUGAUCCGGUGGUUCCGCAUGGAAGGGCCAUCGCUCAACGGAUAAAAGCUACCCCGGGGAUAACAGGCUUAUCUCCCCAAGAGUCCACAUCGACGGGGAGGUUUGGCACCUCGAUGUCGGCUCAUCGCAUCCUGGGGCUGUAGUCGGUCCCAAGGGUUGGGCUGUUCGCCCAUUAAAGCGGUACGCGAGCUGGGUUCAGAACGUCGUGAGACAGUUCGGUCCCUAUCCGUCGUGGGCGUAGGAAAUUUGAGAGGAGCUGUCCUUAGUACGAGAGGACCGGGAUGGACGCACCGCUGGUGUACCAGUUGUUCUGCCAAGGGCAUAGCUGGGUAGCUAUGUGCGGAAGGGAUAAGUGCUGAAAGCAUCUAAGCAUGAAGCCCCCCUCAAGAUGAGAUUUCCCAUAGCGUAAGCUAGUAAGAUCCCUGAAAGAUGAUCAGGUUGAUAGGUUCGAGGUGGAAGCAUGGUGACAUGUGGAGCUGACGAAUACUAAUAGAUCGAGGACUUAACCAU
rnacentral:rRNA from 1 species